rnacentral:lncRNA from 1 species
UAGCGUUUAGGAAGACACCCAAGUGUGGUUGAACACCUUCCAUCUUUUUGAGGGAAGCUUGAAGAUUUGGUUCUUGACUCUCCUAGCCAGUUACAAUGUAGCAGGGCUGUUGUGAUGGUUCAUAUAUGCUAGGCCCAGGGAAUGGCACUAUUAGGAGGCGUGGCCUUGUUAGAGUAGGUAUGUCACUCUAACAAGACUCUCACCCUAGCUGCCUAGAAGUCAGUCUUCCACCAGCAGCCUUCAGAUGAAGAUGUAGAACUGUCAGCUCCUCCUGCACCAGGCCUGCCUGGAUGCUGCCAUGUUCCCACCUUGAUAAUAAUGGACUGAACCUCUGAACCAGUAAGCCAUCCCCAAUUUAAUGUUGUCUUUAUAAGACUUGCCUUGGUCAUGGGGUCUGUUCACAGCAGUAAAACCCUAACUAAGACAGAAGUCCUUGUGUCUCAAUCGAUGACUUCUAGCUAAGCUUUGUCCCAAUAUUCUGCUCAGAUGAAACAGACCCUCCUUGGUCUUUUGUGUUAGUAGCUUAUUUUCAUUGAGGAACAUGAUGCUUGAACAUCUUUAUUAGACUUAAAAGUACAGAAAUGACUGCCAUUGGGAAUAAGAUCAUGUGCCCCAUGUUUAUGUAAGUUUAGAUGGCACAUUUUGACCUACAAAGGGCUUCUGCCUCACAUUUUACAGAUUUUCAUCAGCAUCCAGCAUGUGACAGAGUUUCUUGAAAAUGAGGGUAAGAUAAAUCAUUCACGGCAGCAUACCUGUGUCUUCAUGGUAGUAAGAGAGAAACUGCAAAUUUCACACUGAAAGGUCUAAAAUCCCGUAAGAAUGUAAUGUGAACGUUGCCAACUCCAGAAACACAAGAGAUACUUUAGAUGAUGAUAAAUAGUUUACAUUCUCUCACUGUGAGGAGGUGGCUCCUUCCGGAUAAACCUGCUGAGAGGACAUCUUCUUGAGCUUAACAUGAUUGUACGCAGUUCUUUCAGUGGUUAGCAUGCAAUGUAUGUCAUGAAGAACGUUUACCCAAUUACAUGCUAAUGCAACACACAACGAACUCAAUGCAAUCAAUGUGAGCCUUGGAGGAGUUGCUCAAGACCACUGUUCCUGCUCACAGGCUCUGGGAGGAGGAGGGCUCUCUACAGCUAGGAGCAGAUGCAUGGACGUGUGAAUGAAUAGCUCAUAAGAAGAGUAAUAGAUUUAUUUGUAGUUUUAGGUUCCCACCUUUUGGGAAUAUUAGAGGGAUGUCUGCAUCUGUGCAC